rnacentral:rRNA from 1 species
GACGUGCUUGCACUGAAUGAGAUUUUAACACGAAGUGAGUGGCGGACGGGUGAGUAACACGUGGGUAACCUGCCCAGAAGCAGGGGAUAACACCUGGAAACAGAUGCUAAUACCGUAUAACAGAGAAAACCGCCUGGUUUUCUUUUAAAAGAUGGCUCUGCUAUCACUUCUGGAUGGACCCGCGGCGCAUUAGCUAGUUGGUGAGGUAACGGCUCACCAAGGCGAUGAUGCGUAGCCGACCUGAGAGGGUAAUCGGCCACAUUGGGACUGAGACACGGCCCAGACUCCUACGGGAGGCAGCAGUAGGGAAUCUUCCACAAUGGACGCAAGUCUGAUGGAGCAACGCCGCGUGAGUGAAGAAGGGUUUCGGCUCGUAAAGCUCUGUUGUUAAAGAAGAACGUGGGUGAGAGUAACUGUUCACCCAGUGACGGUAUUUAACCAGAAAGCCACGGCUAACUACGUGCCAGCAGCCGCGGUAAUACGUAGGUGGCAAGCGUUAUCCGGAUUUAUUGGGCGUAAAGCGAGCGCAGGCGGUCUUUUAAGUCUAAUGUGAAAGCCUUCGGCUCAACCGAAGAAGUGCAUUGGAAACUGGGAGACUUGAGUGCAGAAGAGGACAGUGGAACUCCAUGUGUAGCGGUGAAAUGCGUAGAUAUAUGGAAGAACACCAGUGGCGAAGGCGGCUGUCUGGUCUGUAACUGACGCUGAGGCUCGAAAGCAUGGGUAGCGAACAGGAUUAGAUACCCUGGUAGUCCAUGCCGUAAACGAUGAUUACUAAGUGUUGGAGGGUUUCCGCCCUUCAGUGCUGCAGCUAACGCAUUAAGUAAUCCGCCUGGGGAGUACGACCGCAAGGUUGAAACUCAAAAGAAUUGACGGGGGCCCGCACAAGCGGUGGAGCAUGUGGUUUAAUUCGAAGCUACGCGAAGAACCUUACCAGGUCUUGACAUCUUCUGCCAACCUAAGAGAUUAGGCGUUCCCUUCGGGGACAGAAUGACAGGUGGUGCAUGGUUGUCGUCAGCUCGUGUCGUGAGAUGUUGGGUUAAGUCCCGCAACGAGCGCAACCCUUAUUACUAGUUGCCAGCAUUCAGUUGGGCACUCUAGUGAGACUGCCGGUGACAAACCGGAGGAAGGCGGGGACGACGUCAAAUCAUCAUGCCCCUUAUGACCUGGGCUACACACGUGCUACAAUGGAUGGUACAACGAGUCGCAAAACCGCGAGGUUUAGCUAAUCUCUUAAAACCAUUCUCAGUUCGGACUGUAGGCUGCAACUCGCCUACACGAAGUCGGAAUCGCUAGUAAUCGCGGAUCAGCAUGCCGCGGUGAAUACGUUCCCGGGCCUUGUACACACCGCCCGUCACACCAUGAGAGUUUGUAACACCCAAAGCCGGUGGGGUAAC